rnacentral:rRNA from 1 species
CCGUACUAUUAUGGUCCGACGCGCGAGAAAGACCGGACAGGUUCAGAUUAUUAUUGUUACAAACCGCCAGCUUAAUUUAACUCAAUUGGUAAAAGAGUUGGUUAAAGAUUUCCCAGAAGUUGUGACAGUAGCUGUUAAUACAAAUACAGCUAAAACCAGUGAGAUAUAUGGUGAAAAGACAGAGAUUAUCUGGGGGCAAGAGAGUAUUCAAGAAGGUGUACUCAAUUAUGAAUUUUCACUAUCCCCUCGAGCUUUUUAUCAACUAAAUCCUGAGCAAACAGAAGUCCUCUAUAGCGAAGCAGUAAAAGCGCUGGAUGUUGAUAAAGAAGACCAUUUGAUUGACGCUUAUUGUGGAGUUGGAACGAUUGGAUUUGCCUUUGCAAAGAAAGUAAAAACACUCAGAGGUAUGGAUAUUAUUCCAGAAGCUAUUGAAGAUGCCAAGCGAAAUGCUAAAAGAAUGGGAUUUGACAAUACUCAUUAUGAAGCUGGAACGGCAGAAGAGAUUAUUCCUCGUUGGUACAAGGAAGGCUACCGAGCAGAUGCUUUGAUUGUUGACCCACCACGUACAGGUCUGGAUGAUAAGUUAUUAGAUACUAUUCUUACUUAUGUACCAGAAAAAAUGGUUUAUAUUUCUUGUAAUGUUUCGACCUUGGCUCGUGAUUUGGUACGCUUAGUAGAAGUCUAUGAUCUUCAUUAUAUCCAGUCGGUCGAUAUGUUCCCACAUACAGCUCGAACUGAAGCUGUUGUAAAAUUAAUAAAAAAAGUUUAAAAAAGUAGUUGACAAAGUUUGAAAAGACUGUAUAAUAGUAAGAGUUGAAAAUAACAACUCAGGUCCGUUGGUCAAGGGGUUAAGACACCGCCUUUUCACGGCGGUAACACGGGUUCGAAUCCCGUACGGACUAUGGUAUGUUGCGGUUGGAACACUUGAUGAAAAAAAGUUUAAAAAAACUUAAAAAUCUUCAAAAAAGUGUUGACAAGUGAAAGUGGCUGUGAUAUACUAAUAUAGUUGUCGCUUGAGAGAAGCAAGUGACAAAGACCUUUGAAAACUGAACAAGACGAACCAAUGUGCAGGGCGCUACAACAUAAGUUGUAGUACUGAACAAUGAAAAAAACCAAUAAAUACUGUCAGUGACAGAAAUGAGUGAGAACUCAAACUUUAAUGAGAGUUUGAUCCUGGCUCAGGACGAACGCUGGCGGCGUGCCUAAUACAUGCAAGUAGAACGCUGAAGGAGGAGCUUGCUUCUCUGGAUGAGUUGCGAACGGGUGAGAAUCCUGUCCACCGUAAGACUAAGGUUUCCAGGGGAAGGCUCGUCCGCCCUGGGUUAGUCGGGACCUAAGGAGAGACCGAAAGGUGUAUCCGAUGGACAACAGGUUGAUAUUCCUGUACUAGAGUAUGUAGUGAUGGAGGGACGCAGUAGGCUAACUAAAGCAGACGAUUGGAAGAGUCUGUCUAAGCAGUGAGGUGUGAAUUGAGUACAAAUGCUUAAUUCUAUAACAUUGAGCUGUGAUGGGGAGCGAAGUUUAGUAGCGAAGUUAGUGACGUCACGCUGCCAAGAAAAGCUUCUAGCGUUUAAACAUACUCUACCCGUACCGCAAACCGACACAGGUAGUCGAGGCGAGUAGCCUCAGGUGAGCGAGAGAACUCUCGUUAAGGAACUCGGCAAAAUGACCCCGUAACUUCGGGAGAAGGGGUGCUGACUUAAAGUCAGCCGCAGUGAAUAGGCCCAAGCAACUGUUUAUCAAAAACACAGCUCUCUGCUAAAUCGUAAGAUGAUGUAUAGGGGGUGACGCCUGCCCGGUGCUGGAAGGUUAAGAGGAGUGCUUAGCGUAAGCGAAGGUAUGAAUUGAAGCCCCAGUAAACGGCGGCCGUAACUAUAACGGUCCUAAGGUAGCGAAAUUCCUUGUCGGGUAAGUUCCGACCCGCACGAAAGGCGUAAUGAUUUGGGCACUGUCUCAACGAGAGACUCGGUGAAAUUUUAGUACCUGUGAAGAUGCAGGUUACCCGCGACAGGACGGAAAGACCCCAUGGAGCUUUACUGCAGUUUGAUAUUGAGUGUCUGUACCACAUGUACAGGAUAGGUAGGAGUCUAAGAGAUCGGGACGCCAGUUUCGAAGGAGACGCUGUUGGGAUACUACCCUUGUGUUAUGGCCACUCUAACCCAGAUAGGUGAUCCCUAUCGGAGACAGUGUCUGACGGGCAGUUUGACUGGGGCGGUCGCCUCCUAAAAGGUAACGGAGGCGCCCAAAGGUUCCCUCAGAAUGGUUGGAAAUCAUUCGCAGAGUGUAAAGGUAUAAGGGAGCUUGACUGCGAGAGCUACAACUCGAGCAGGGACAAAGUCGGGCUUAGUGAUCCGGUGGUUCCGUAUGGAAGGGCCAUCGCUCAACGGAUAAAAGCUACCCUGGGGAUAACAGGCUUAUCUCCCCCAAGAGUUCACAUCGACGGGGAGGUUUGGCACCUCGAUGUCGGCUCGUCGCAUCCUGGGGCUGUAGUCGGUCCCAAGGGUUGGGCUGUUCGCCCAUUAAAGCGGCACGCGAGCUGGGUUCAGAACGUCGUGAGACAGUUCGGUCCCUAUCCGUCGCGGGCGUAGGAAAUUUGAGAGGAUCUGCUCCUAGUACGAGAGGACCAGAGUGGACUUACCGCUGGUGUACCAGUUGUCUUGCCAAAGGCAUCGCUGGGUAGCUAUGUAGGGAAGGGAUAAACGCUGAAAGCAUCUAAGUGUGAAACCCACCUCAAGAUGAGAUUUCCCAUGAUUAU